ACCGGUCUCAGUUCGGAUCGCAGUCUGCAACUCGACUGCGUGAAGCUGGAAUCGCUAGUAAUCGGAUAUCAGCCAUGAUCCGGUGAAUACGUUCCCGGGCCUUGCACACACCGCCCGUCAAACCAUCUUAGUUGGGGGUGGGUGAGGCUGCGCUUUUUGGCGUAUUCGAGCCUGCCUUCGACAAGGAGGGUUAAGUCGUAACAAGGUAUCUGUAGGGGAACCUGCAGAUGGAUCACCUCCU
rnacentral:rRNA from 1 species